AGCGACCGCUCGCGGCAGGCCUAACACAUGCAAGUCGAGCGGGCGUAGCAAUACGUCAGCGGCAGACGGGGGAGUAACCCGUGGGAACGUGCCCUUUCGUUCGGAAUAAAUCAGGGAAAAUGGCGCUAAUACCGGAUCAGUCCUUCGGGGGAAAGAUUUAUUGCCAUUGGUGCGGCCCGAGUCGGAUUAGCUAGUUGGUGAGGUAAUGGCUCACCAAGGCGACGAUCCGUAGCUGGUCUGAGAGGAUGACCAGCCUCACUGGGACGGAGACACAGCCCAGACUCCUACGGGAGGCAGCAGUGGGUAAUAUUGCACAAUGGGCGCGAGCCUGAUCCAGCCAUGCCGCGUGGAUGAUGAAGGCCCUAGGGUUGUAAAGUCCUUUUACCGGGGAAGAUAAUGACGGUACCCGUAGAAUAAGCCCCGGCUAACUUCGUGCCAGCCGCCGCGGUAA
rnacentral:rRNA from 1 species